rfam:Heterocephalus glaber contig84208, whole genome shotgun sequence.
GGAUGUGAGGGCGAUCUGGCUGCGCCAUCUGUCACCAUAUUGACCACCAGGGUGGAGUCAGCUGAUCUGGCUGGCUAGGUGGGAGGCCCCUUCCUCCCUCACUGCUCCAUGUGCAUCCUUCAUCCCUCCCGAAGCUGCACUCUCUGUCACUCCAUCACUCCAUCGAAGAAGAUGACCACCCCCGAUAGAAGAGAACCAUUUCCUCAGUCAAGGGUAUACAAUAGCUGCCCUCCCCUGCUAGAACCUCCAAACAAGCUCUCAAAGUCCAUAUAUAUGCAUAUAUUUAGAAACAGAGAAGCAAAAUAAAAAAAUUGAAUUAAAGUUUGAAAGAUCUGAUGCAGCAAGUUUUAAAU